rnacentral:rRNA from 1 species
UACGUAGGGGGCGAGCGUUGUCCGGAGUUACUGGGCGUAAAGCGCACGCAGGCGGUCUGCUAAGUUUGGAGUGACAGUUGGUGGCUUAACUGCCAAAGUGCUUCGAAAACUGACAGACUUGAGGGCUUCAGAGGGACACGGAAUUCCGGGUGGAGUGGUGAAAUGCGUAGAUAUCAAGUGGAACACCAGUGGCGAAGGCGAGUCUCUGGACAUUUCCUGACGCUGAGGCACGAAAGCCAGGGGAGCAAACGGG